rnacentral:lncRNA from 14 species
AGUUCACCCUGCCAUGGCAGGGGUCAGAACUGGAUGAUGUUAAGGUCCUUUCCAACCCAAACCAGGCUGGGAUUCUGUGAUUCUAUGGCCAGGAGAUGGUCUCAGGUGUCUGGGACAUGGUCUCGUUGGACCAGGAGAUGGUUCUAAGGACAAGGAGAAGGUUUUGGGUGGCUAAGAGGAGCCCAUCCUGCCUGUGCUGCAGCCCAAUCUGCUGAGGCUCUGUGCCAUGCGGCCUUCCUGCAGGGACCUGGGAUGGGACUGCACAGGGUCCAUGGGGGAGGAUGUCACAAGUGCCAUGGGGAUCUGUGUGGGGGGGACAUCGCGUGUGCCCUCCAUCUAUGGGGUGCAGCAGCCUCCUCGAGGAUGAGGCCAUUGAGCACCUCAGUCAGCAGGGGCCAGGACCAGGGUCUGCUGUGUCUGGGGGGAUGUGGGUGCCCCCAUGGCCACCGCUCACCCUGCUCAUCCCUGCUCUCCCCCCACAGCCUCACAGCACCAGGAUGAACGGGACAGCCAACGUCAACCCUGCCGCCCGCAGCCACUUCACCUCUGCCAUCCCGGUGCCCCGUGCUAUGGCCCACGGCAAACCACACACUGCGGCCCCCCCAGCACCACGGGGCCCCCCGUGUCCCCCAGGGCUCUGUCCCCCCAGCCACCCCCCGGCCCCAGGACCCUCAAGCCCAAAGGCAGAGCUGCUGAGGGCAGUGGGGGCAGCCCCAGUGUCCCCCACCGUGGGGGGCAGAAGGUCCCAGCAAAACCUCUGGUGCCCCCCGGGAAGUGGCCAGAAGCAGGGGGCAGUGGGAGGAGAGGGGCAGGCAGGGCAAGGGAGCCCCCUGAGCUGCCCAAAGCUUCCCCAGCACAGGGCAGGGCUGGGGGGAAGUUGGGGGGCGGCCCUGGGAAGGGCAGUGGGGUGACCAUGGCAGGGAUGGGGGAUGAGCCCCACAGCAGCUCACAGGGCAGGGGUCCUGUAUUUGGGUCGGGGGCCAUCACCUUCUCCUCGGGUACCCCACACAAUCACCCUGUCACUGCCACCGUGGCACCCUUCCAGUACCGGCUGCAGGAGCACCGGGAGGGUGACGAGUGCCCUGGACCUGACCCCGACCCCAAACCCGGAGGCCCGAGUGAGUCCAGGGGGGUUUGCUGGGGAUGAGGAGGGUCCUGCGGGGGUCGUGGGGAGCUCAGCCCCCUGCGGGCACGUGCUGGAAGGGGAUCCGAGGGGAGACCCCCACAUAAGAUGUGCCUCAAUUUCCCUGGGAAUGACAUUGCUGCAGCUGCUGUAUCCAGGGUCUCCCAUGGCCAAAACCCUACAACCAGCGGCGUGGCCAAACCCAGGUGCAGGAGCCACCUUGGCAUCCCCCAUGGUCCAGCAUCCCCCAUGGUCCAGCAUCCCCCAUGGUCAGCAUCCCCCAUGGUCCAGCAUCCCCCAUGGUCCAGCAUCCCCCAUGGCUCAGCAUCCCCCAUGGUCCAGCAUCCCCCAUGGUCCAGCACAAACGAACUGUCCCCUCCAGUGGCGCCGCCAGGACAUGGCUCUGCUUUGGCUCCUUUCCUCCCUCUUCCCAGUUUCCAGGCGAGCUCCAGGAAUGACCCAUUUCCAAGGAGCUGGCGUGGAGCCGGGUGGAGGCGGGUGCCGCUGGCUCCCCACACCCACGGCGGGGACACCCCCGUUGUCGGGAGCCCAGUGCGAGCUCCCCACUGCGGUGCUGGGGACAACCCGGUCCCCGACGGCGCCUGCUCUGGGGCAGGGUUUGGGGGGCGGCUGCUGGGGGAGAUGCCGGGCGGCGGUUGCCAGGGCAGCGGCAGCGGAGGAUGGUGGGAUGCUCCAGGGAUGUGCAGGGAAGGGGAAGGAAAGGAGCCGGGAGCUUCGCUGCGUGAUGCGAAGGGACAGAAGUCGGUCAGAGCCGCGGGGCUGGGGAAGGGGCCGGAUCCUUUCCCUUGGCUCCACACCUCCCGCGGGCCUGGAGGGGACGGGGAACACCGGGAGGUCCCAGGGGUCCAUGACACGGCCCCCGCAGUGGGCCCUACACCCAGGCCAUAGCCGUGAUAACCCCGCAGGCUGACAGCGGCUUCGGGGUGCAGCUCCUGCACCCACCCCCUCGCGGCAAUGGGAACACCAGGGGCUUUGGCCACCCUUUGCUGUCCCAUCCCGGGCCGGGGCAUUUCGGGGCUCUUCAGCACCACCACGGGCUGGAC